UUAUAGAGUUUUCUAAACUCCCAACCCAUGUGAACUUACCUUUUGUUGCCUCGGCAGAGGUUACCUGGUACCUGGAGACAGGUUACCCUGUAGCAGCUGCCGGUGGACUACUAAACUCUUGUUAUUUUAUGUAAUCUGAGCGUCUUAUUUUAAUAAGUCAAAACUUUCAACAACGGAUCUCUUGGUUCUGGCAUCGAUGAAGAACGCAGCGAAAUGCGAUAAGUAAUGUGAAUUGCAGAAUUCAGUGAAUCAUCGAAUCUUUGAACGCACAUUGCGCCCAUUAGUAUUCUAGUGGGCAUGCCUGUUCGAGCGUCAUUUCAACCCUUAAGCCUAGCUUAGUGUUGGGAAUUUACAGUUAUGUAAUUCCUGAAAUACAACGGCGGAUCUGUGGUAUCCUCUGAGCGUAGUAAAUUAUUUCUCGCUUUUGUCAGGUGCUGCAGCUCCCAGCCGCUAAACCCCCAAUUUUUUGUGGUU
rnacentral:rRNA from 1 species